rnacentral:rRNA from 1 species
ACUCCUACGGGAGGCAGCAGUAGGGAAUAUUGGUCAAUGGGCGAGGGCCUGAACCAGCCAUGCCGCGUGCAGGAAGACGGCCUUCUGGGUUGUAAACUGCUUUUGGCCGGGAACAAAAAGCCCCUGCGGGGGAAAUUGAGUGUACCGGCAGAAUAAGCACCGGCUAACUCCGUGCCAGCAGCCGCGGUAAUACGGAGGGUGCAAGCGUUGUCCGGAUUUAUUGGGUUUAAAGGGUGCGUAGGCGGGCCAAUAAGUCAGUGGUGAAAGCCCACAGCUCAACUG